CAAAUUUCUGGUAUAAAAGUAGUCCAUAAAUAUUAAACCACAAAUAUAUUUAAACCUAUAUUAAAAAUUGGGUAUAUAGCUGAUUGAUAUUUUAAAUACAUUUUGAUUUCUAUCAACCUGGUCACAAUAUAUUCUACUUUUAAGUUUGGGUAAAAGGAAGAAUAAGUGGGAGCAGCAUUUAUGUGGUAACACGGUACGUAGCGCUUGAAUAGUUCUCCACUACUUUGUCUACCCGACUUAAAUUUAGUGGAAUAUCACGUUAACGGGUUAGGAGAAAUCAAAAAUUUAAUACCAAAAUGUAUCUAGUUAUGGAAUUUUUAAUACAGGUUGACAUUAGCAAAUCAAAAGCAAGUAGUCGUUUCGGGAGACGUUUAAAAUCACAACAGUCAAAAUCGUAACAGUUAUAAUCUCGACACCAAAAUUCCGACAGUUACAAUAUUGACAGAGUCAAAAUCCCGACAAAGUUAAAAUUCCAACAGAAAAUAUCACACAGAAUUUCGCAAACAUCGCAGAUUGUGUAAGUGAUCGCCUAAUUAUGUCCCUUAAAAUUAUACUGAUUAUCAACUUGAUUAAAAAAAAUUAAGUUAUACUUUUUUUUAAAUUUAUGAUUUAUUAAUACAAUAAAAUCAAUACAUUUAAAAACUCGCAAUAAUUUAUUGUUAAUCCAUUACUUCCUU